rnacentral:rRNA from 1 species
AUUGAACGCUGGCGGCAGGCCUAACACAUGCAAGUCGAGCGGAUGAAGGGAGCUUGCUCCUGGAUUCAGCGGCGGACGGGUGAGUAAUGCCUAUGAAUCUGCCUUGUAGUGGGGGAUAACGUCCUGAAACGGGCUCUAAUACCGCAUACGUCCUGAGGUAGAAAUUGGGGGAUCUUCGGACCUCACGCUAUCAGAUGAGCCUAGGUCGGAUUAGCUAGUUGGUGGGGUAACUGCCUACCAAGGCGACGAUCCGUAACUGGUCUGAGAGGAUGAUCAGUCACCUUGGAACUGAGAAACGGUACAGACUCCUACGGGAGGCAGCAGUGGGGAAUAUUAGACGAUGGGGGAAAGCCUGAUACAGCAAAGCCGCGUGUGUGAAGAAGGUCUUCGGAUUGUAAAGCAAUUUAAGUUGGGAGGAAGGGCAGUAAGUUAAUACCUUGCUGUAUUGACGGUACCAACAGAAUAAGCACCGGCUAACUUCGUG